CGGGCUGUAGGGAUCCGGUUGGGGGGUUCCAGGUCCCACAGAAGGUGAGUUGGGUGACCCAUGAGUAUCCCUGAACUGAGUGAAGAGUAAAUGAUGCAUAGGAAGUUUAGGUAAGGCAGGAGAAAGUGUUCCAGGUAGAGGGAACAGCAUAUGCAGAAGCCAGGAAGGAGGUGAGAUCAUAGCGUAUGUUUGGAAACAGAAAGAAGUAAUAGGCCUGAGUGGAUGGGAGAGAGGGGAACGCUGGAGAAGAGGACUUGGGCUUGGGGGGCAUGAGGAGGUCACCAUUUGUACUACACCCAGUACAGAUGUCCACUGAGGGGCCCAUUGCCACUCCCCUCCCCAGGUCCCUGAAGACUUCAUCUCCCGAGAGCUGUUUGACACAGUCCAAGUGUACAUCAUCACCAAGCCAGAGCUGCAGAACAAGCUUAUCACUGUGUGAGACCCUAGCUCGGGGUGAGCGGUGGGUGGCAGGGGUUGUCCCAGGAGGAGGAAGGGACAGGCUUGGGGGCCUGACUGUGUUCCAAUUAUCCAGCACAGCUAUGGAAAAGAAGCUGAUCGGCUGUCCUGUGUGCAUCGAACACAAGAAGUACAGCCGCAAUGCUCUCCUCUUCAACCUGGGCUUCGUGUGUGAUGCCCAGGCCAAGACCUGCGCCCUCGAGCCCAUUGUUAAAAAGCUGGCUGGCUAUCUGACCACACUAGAGGUCUGCAAUGAGAUGGGCUUGGGUUUACCGACAGGCAGAGUUGGGGAAGGUGUUCCCAUGUCUCCAAAGUCCCCCAAACCUGGGACCCUGCAAACCAGCUCAGGACUCAGGGCAGCCAACCAGCCAGGGGUCCUGGGAUGUGCCCACCAUGCUUUCCAUGCUCUGUCUAGCUAGAGAGCAGCUUCGUGUCCAUGGAGGAGAGCAAGCAGAAGUUGGUGCCCAUCAUGACCAUCUUGCUGGAGGAGCUAAAUGCCUCAGGCCGGUGCACUCUGCCCAUUGGUAUGGCCAGCCUCUGCAAGGACAGCAGAGGGGUAGAGGAGAGAUGGGAAAGUGAACCCAGCUAGUCAGGGAGAAGGGCAAGACUCAUGAACACAUUGGUGGGCAGGAAAUAGCCAUGGGCUGAGGUGCCCAUGUCCAGGGUCCAAUGCAUGAUGGAGCUGGGACUGGGGGUAGGGGGAAAGCAGAGCUCUCCAGCUCUGCCCCUUGGGCAAUUCCUUCCCCUUUGUGGGCCUCCGUUUCUCACUCCAUAAAAAGAGAAAGAUUAGCCCUACCCAGAGGCACCUGCUUGCCCCAAGGGAUGCUGGGAGGCCUGGAUGGUAAUUGAGGACCUCUUGGAAGAAGUGGCACUGAGGAUAUGGAUGGGGCCCCCUGCAGAUGAGUCCAACACCAUCCACUUGAAGGUGAUUGAGCAGCGGCCAGACCCUCCGGUGGCCCAGGAGUAUGAUGUACCUGUCUUUACCAAAGACAAGGAGGAUUUCUUCAACUCACAGUGGGACCUCACUACACAACAAAUCCUGCCCUACAUUGAUGGGUUCCGCCACAUCCAGAAGAUUUCAGCAGAGGCAGAUGUGGAGCUCAACCUGGUGCGCAUUGCUAUCCAGAACCUGCUGUGAGUGGGCCUACAGUCAUACCUGGGACAAGGUCACCAGCCAGGGAAGACCUCAGGGGCCCUGGGUGUGAGGGUUGGGAAGGCAUGGUCCUCAGAAGCUGAGCACAGCUCUCUCUCUCAGGUACUACGGCGUUGUGACACUGGUGUCCAUCCUCCAGGUAGUACUCCAAUGUAUACUGCCCAACGCCCAAGGUCCAGGACCUGGUAGAUGACAAGUCCCUGCAAGAGGCAUGUCUAUCCUACGUGACCAAGCAAGGGCACAAGAGGGCCAGUCUCCGGGAUGUGUUCCAGCUAUACUGCAGCCUGAGCCCUGGCACUACCGUGCGAGACCUCAUUGGCCGCCACCCCCAGCAGCUGCAGCAUGUUGAUGAACGGUCAGAGGAGAAUUUGCUGGGGCAUUUGGGAGUUACCUGAGGGAAGCUAGACCCUUUAUGUCUCUCAGGAGCCCUGGAUCAUGGGGCACUGCCAAUCCAAGCAGGCUUCCUGGAGAUGAUGGGCUACAGAGACAAAAUUGAAGGGAGACUACAGGAAAGGGUUGGCCUGCCUGAAAGAAGGCCUGGCCAGGGCGUCACCCCGUCCUCUGAUCCUCACCCUAGGAAGCUGAUCCAGUUCGGGCUUAUGAAGAACCUCAUCAGGCGACUACAGAAGUAUCCUGUGCGGGUGACUCGGGAAGAGCAGAGCCACCCUGCCCGGCUUUAUACAGGCUGCCACAGCUAUGACGAGAUCUGCUGCAAGACAGGCAUGAGCUACCAUGAGCUGGAUGAGCGGCUUGAAAAUGACCCCAACAUCAUCAUCUGCUGGAAGUGAGGCUGGUAGUGACUGGAUGGACACAUUGCUGUGGGUAGUCCCUCCUACUAGGAGGCUUGUCAUACUGUCUAGAGGUUGACUCUUAGUUCUGUAAAUAAAGACAUCCAUUUCAAAC
rnacentral:lncRNA from 1 species